GAGACAUUCCUUUCCCUGGGAGCGGUGGGGAGUGUCCGUCCUGGGCUCGUGUCCUGACACACCAUCCUAUCCCAGCUUGUUCACUAGGGAACCUGAUUUUCAAGCCUGAGCUUAUUGGUGUUAGCACGUUCGCGGAAGCACACUGAAUUGAAGGUCCCGGGGUUUGAGUUCUAAUGCGGGCUUUGCCACGGGAUUGCCUAAAAGGGUUGAAGAAAUGAUUUAGUCGUUAUGGGCCUCAGUUUCUUUCUCUUUAAAGUGGGUUGGAGGAGAACAAGCAGGAAUGGACUCCUGCGCUGCCAGCCUCCCAGGGUGGGGCUCCCGUCGCCCGCCCCUUGACCCCAGGCUGGCUGUGGGAGCCAAGAAAUAGGAAACUGACACGUUGAAAGAGCAUCAGCUGUCCCGGGUGAGGUCACAGCCGGCCACUGGUGACCUCUGCUGGGUCAGCAGGUCAGCAGCCCCGCCCCUCCCGAGCUGCGGCCGCCAGGUCCUCCCCUGACCCUUGGCAAGGGCACCAUGCUCAUCCGUGCAGAGGGAAGCCGGGAGAACACCUCGCCCGCCCGUGGCUUGGUAAUCUGCUACCAUGUGACAAGGGCUCUCCAGCCACAGAUGCUGCUUCGCCUGUCCUGCCGGAGUGACGGGCACUAAGCGGAGUGUUACAUCAUGUUGCUUUAUGUAUUCUCCAAUUCUGUUAUUAAUUGCGUACAUAUUUAUGGCUAUGUGACUCGUGAAGAAGACCUGGAAUAUACCAGAGGAACUGAAGGACACUGAGGACGCGGUCUACCAACUUGUGGUCGAUGACCUGAAAGACACUAUCAGCCAACCUGACUUAAUUGACAUGUGUAGAACCUAAUAACAAAAUAAGCAUUCUUUUCAAAUACACAUGGAACAUUCACCAAAGUAAUUCAUAUGCUGGCCCAUGAAACUAAUACCUGCAAAUUUAUAAGGACUUAAAUAAUACAAAGCAUGUUCUUUGAUGACAGUAGUGUUAAACUAGGAUUGAAUAAGAGAAAGAUACAGCAAAAACUGUAAUUAGAAAUUUAAAAACACACUUCUAAAUAAUCUGUGGAUCAAAGAAGGAAUCAUGAAGGAAAUUCUAAUGUAUUUUGAAUUAAACAAAUGGAAACACAACAUAUUCAAAAAAAUGUGUGAUGCACCUAAAGAAAUGCUCAGAGGAAAAUGUAUAGAAUUAAUUACUUAUAAAGAAGGAAAGUCUCCAACAAUGAUCUCAGCUACCACCUUAAGAAAUUAUAAAAGGAAAGCAAGUUAAACACAAAGGAAGCCGAAGGAAGGAAAUAUAGAGCAGAAAUCAAUGAAAUAGAAAACAGGAAACUAAUAGAGAAAAAGCUAUUGAGCCAUAACUUACAAAUUUCUAGUCAGUCUGAUCAAGGAAAAAGAGGAGAGAAGAUACCGAUUACCAAUAUCAGAAAUGAAAGAAAAGACUUUACUAUACAUCUUACAGGAAUUAAAAGAUUAUGAACAACUUUACACUAAUACAUUUGAGAACUUACACGGAAUGGAAAAAUUGCCUGAAAGACCCAAACUCCCAACGCUCACUCAAGAAGAAAUAGUCUGAUCAGUGCUACAUGGUGGUGAAUUUUUCCAAACACGUAAGGAAGAAAUAAUACCAGUUCUAGAGAAAUGUUUCCAAAAAAUGGUAAAGGGUAGAACAUUUUCCAACUUACUUUAUGAGGCCGAUACUAACAUGAUACCAAAACCAGACAAAGACGAAGGUUUCAUGAAAAGUAAUCUAAAGCCCAAAUACACCUUAUGGACAUAGACAGAAAAGUCCUCAGCAAAAUGUUAGCAAAUCAAAUCCAGCAGUAUAUUAAAAAAGAUAACACAAGUGGGGGAUGCUAGGUUGGUUCGACACUUGAAAAUCGAUCAAUGUAAUUUACCAUAUCAGCAGACAAGGGAAGAACAUAAUUAUUUCAAUGAUGCAGAUGAAGCAUUUUAGCAAACUUCAACAUCCAUUCAUAAUAAAAUCUCUCAAGAAACUA